rnacentral:rRNA from 1 species
GACGGAGGGUGCAAGCGUUGUUCGGAUUGACUGGGCGUAAAGGGCGUGUAGGCGGUUGGUCAAGUCUGGUGUGAAAGCCCGGGGCUUAACCCCGGAAGUGCAUUGGAAACUAGCCAGCUAGAGCGCGAGAGAGGAGGGUGGAAUUCCUGGUGUAGCGGUGAAAUGCGUAGAUAUCAGGAGGAACACCGGCGGCGAAGGCGGCCCUCUGGCUCGUUGCUGACGCUGAAACGCGAAAGCGUGGGGAGCAAACAGGAUUAGAUACCCUGGUAGUCCACGCUGUAAACGAUGGGUACUAGGUGUUCGGGGUAUUGACCCCCUGAGUGCCGCCGCUAACGCAUUAAGUACCCCGCCUGGGGACUACGGCCGCAAGGUUAAA